UACAGAGGUGCCGAGCGUUAGGCGGAAUCACUGGGCUUAAAGCGUGUGUAGGCGGAUGCCUAAGUACCUUGUGAAAUCCCCCGGCUUAACCGGGGAACUGCUUGGUAUACUGGGUGUCUUGAGCCACUUAGGGGCGACCGGAACAAACGGUGGAGCGGUGAAAUGCGUAGAUAUCGUUUGGAACGCCAAUGGUGAAAACAGGUCGCUGGGAGUGUGCUGACGCUGAGACACGAAAGCCGGGGAGCGAACGGG
rnacentral:rRNA from 1 species